rnacentral:rRNA from 1 species
UACGUAGGAUGCAAGCGUUGUCCGGAAUUAUUGGGCGUAAAGAGCGCGCAGGCGGUCAUUCAAGUCAGAUGUGAAAUAUCCGGGCUUAACCCGGAGGGGUCAUUUGAAACUGGGUGACUAGAGUACAGCAGAGGAUAGCGGAAUUCCCGGUGUAGUGGUGAAAUGCGUAGAUAUCGGGAGGAACACCAGUGGCGAAGGCGGCUAUCUGGGCUGACACUGACGCUGAGGCGCGAAAGCGUGGGGAGCAAACAGG